rnacentral:misc_RNA from 1 species
UCUGCGUUGGUGAACCAGCGGAGGGAUCAUUAUCGAGUUUAUAACUCCCAAACCCUAUGUGAACUUACCACUUGUUGCUUCGGCGCGCGCUUCGGUGCCGCCGAGGACACUUAAACUCUUUGUUUUUAUAAGCAUUUCUGAGUGGCCGAAAGGCAAAAUACAAAUGAAUCAAAACUUUCAACAACGGAUCUCUUGGUUCUG